rnacentral:sRNA from 1 species
UGGGAGUUUGAUUCUGGCGGACACGGCUCGUUGUUCAACAUAUUUUUUCUCAAGAAAUAGUAUGUGGAACAAAGCAACUCUGCGCAUACUUGCGAUGAUGUCUGUGGCUGAGCUGAAUGGACUGAUGUGCAUCGAGAGCAUCGAGAGCUUAUGGUAAGUAACCCUUGCUCUCGCUUUCUCUCUGAUUCCUGAGAACGGGUUCUUGGUUGCUUCUGAAGGAGCUGAGGGAGGAAACGGUGUGAAACGUUGGCUUUCAGCUGCUGUCUAUUUACUGCGUUAAAAUUGUCAUCCAAGAUCUAUGUCCAAGGCGCUGUGUGAGUGGAAGACUGCAUUUCAAGGGACGAUCGAGAUAUUUCCGUGAGCUCAUUGGAGCGAGAGGGUAGUAUUACAUACAAGGCCGAUGAUUUAAGUAAAGUAUAUUAUUCACAGUCAACACGAGCUAGAAUAGCAAUGGAAUUCAUACGUAACUACCGAGACCAAGGGAGUUUUAUAUGCUCUAUGUAGUGAAAUCAAUACCCACGCAGUCGCCACCACCACUUUCUAAGAAAAUACACAUCUAGCUAAACGGUUUCGAUAUAACGUUUGACUUCCCUACAACGUAGGCUGCAGUGAGUAGUGUUUCAAAAACGAAAAAAAAAAAAAAAAAAAAAAAAAAAAAAAAUUUGAUGAGCCAAAAACAGAAAAGGGGAAACCAGAGAUGUAUGGAAAUUCAGACUCACCAAUCAGUCACAGCUUCCUCCCACAGACGAAUCUCAUGUUCCCUCGUCCCCCCAAAAUGGUCCACGAACGCAUCUCCAAAAACCUCCCUCGCAACACUUCCCUCCCGCAGGAAAACGGCAACCGCGUCCUUCAGGUUUUUAGCCAACCGCACUCCCUGGUCAUUUGGGCAGCCCACAUCCGCCCCUCGAGGAAGUGGCGGAACAGGAAGGGCAAGUUUCUUUUCCACACCCCGCCAACCUAGCGCAAGGAUAGCGGCAAGGACAUAAUGCGGGUUUGCGUCCGCACCUGGGACCCGCACCUCGAGACGUGUGCCAUUUGGCGAUGAUGUGGGUGGCGUGAUGACACGGAUGGACGCAGCUCUGUGCUCUAAGCCCCAGGAAACGGUGACCGGGGCCCAGAAGUUUUCCACAAGGCGCUUGUAGGAAUUUAUGGUGGGGGCGAAAAGAGGCAUGAUAUCUGGUAGGCCGUCGAGGACGCCGGCAAGAAAGUGCCUCCCCAUGUCGGAGAGGUAGGCCACAUCGGGAUAUGGGGG